UAAAAUCACCGUCGCAAUACUGAAGCUGGGUCAGGGAGCUGAGGUAAGGAAAUAGCGCCCCUAGAGGAGAAGCAGCUUGUGUGUACCUGGAGCCCAGCACGCUGUUUUACAUGCAAUGGAAGCCGUUCACGUUUGAUGCAAUUCAAGGCUUGGCACACUCUGAGGAAGCCUGACUCUCACUAUGGACUGGUGGCAGCUUCCCCAAAGUCUGGGUUCAGUUCCCAGGAGGAAGUGGCUUCUGAAGAGCACAUUUGGAUGCGGGAGAGUGACAGCGGGAGGGGCACCCCACAGGAAGGAAGCCCCUUGACAGAGGGCUGGCAGAUUAACGCAGCACACAGGGGGAAGAGGAGAGAAGUUGAGGCUGGACUGCAGGGACUGGCACCUCUUGAUUUGACUUCCUGCUACAGUCUCCUACUCUCAGUCCAGAAUAGAGGCGGCAACCAGGCAUGGUGGUACGUGCCUGUGGUCCCAGCUACUCAGAAGGCUGAGGUGGGAGGAUCGCCUGAGCCCUGGGAGUUCAAGGUUGUAGUGAGC
rnacentral:lncRNA from 1 species